AGUGAACGCUGGCGGUAGGCCUAACACAUGCCAGUCGAACGGCAGCACAGUAAGAGCUUGCUCUUACGGGUGGCGAGUGGCGGACGGGUGAGGAAUACAUCGGAAUCUACUUUUUCGUGGGGGAUAACGUAGGGAAACUUACGCUAAUACCGCAUACGACCUACGGGUGAAAGCAGGGGAUCUUCGGACCUUGCGCGAUUGAAUGAGCCGAUGUCGGAUUAGCUAGUUGGCGGGGUAAAGGCCCACCAAGGCGACGAUCCGUAGCUGGUCUGAGAGGAUGAUCAGUCACACUGGAACUGAGACACGGUCCAGACUCCUACGGGAGGCAGCAGUGGGGAAUAUUGGACAAUGGGCGCAAGCCUGAUCCAGCCAUACCGCGUGGGUGAAGAAGGCCUUCGGGUUGUAAAGCCCUUUUGUUGGGAAAGAAAAGCAGCAGGUUAAUACCCCGCUGUUCUGACGGUACCCAAAGAAUAAGCACCGGCUAACUUCGU
rnacentral:rRNA from 1 species